GAGUGACUGUAGUUGUUGCUGCCAAAUUUAGUCAAAAGCUUAUCAGAAUUUCGAGAUAAGAGAAUUUCAGGAUAUGUUUUUUGCCAAGAUGGAGUGCAUGCCUAUAGUAAGGGCAUACCUUAAAGCGAGUACCAAUGGAAGAGAACUUGGACUGCUUUGAAGAUUCUUCUGGUAAUGGAGGAAAGAGAUUUGCUACGAAAGGAUCCUUUGAGGCAAUUAAUAAAGCUUGAUGUUCUGCCACGACGUAAUCUUUGUUCUUGUCAAGGAACUGAUCGGCUUGGUGUGGAAAUACCUCUGGUGGUGCAGCACAGAGCAUGUAGAAGCAAUGAUAGUUCCUCUCAGGGUCAGAUACCUGGCAAACUCUCGAGCGCUCAAGAAGAUAUGUGCGGACUGCAGCUCCAGAAAUCUUCCCAUAUUUGUCAAAUUGGAUUUCAACAAAUUUACCGAAACGACUGAGUGAACACUUCUCCAUCAGGCAUCUGCGACUGCAAAAAGAUGUGGACUUAGCUCCCCAAAUGCAGCACCAUUGUACUGUUCCAUCAUGUGUACGUCGUAGAGAUGAGGCAACCUUCGGAAAGGGUUCACUGCAAUUAAUAUAUUCCCUGUGGAAUAGCGGGAGGCGAGGUUAGAUAAAACUCCUGGUUCAUGGAGGUAAGCCAACUUGGUCAUAUCAUCUACCCCAGCAGGAGGAGCUUCUGUAUCCUUUGGAUAGAUACUGGAAAGAUUUGCCACUAUCUGCAUAGUUGAUCAAUAUCUGAAUUAAUCUUUGUAAGAUAUCAUUACUGAGUGGAGUAUUCAAAUACUGUAAAAUGUGGCAAGCUAUUUCAUUUUGUUCCUAAAAUGGUAAAAUUCCAUUGGACACCAGAAUCUCGGAAGUUUUAUUCCUAUAACAGUAGCAUGUGAAUCUAGCUACAACAUUAUGCUUGAACUAGAUAGUGGCCAUGAUGUUUUUUAAAUUGUCAUUUAUGGGAAAAAA